UAUUUCCCGAUUUUGAGAGGAGUUAAUGGCUUAUUUUAGUUACUGUUUUAUUAGUAUUAAUGAUAUGUUGUUGGUAGUGAAAUGUUAUUCGUCUUUGUUGGUAUCUGGUUUUCCGAGAAAUGAAUUUAAUUCAUGCGUUUUAUGUAGAUUUAUUAUUUUUAUAUUAGGUUUUAAUUUGUCGUUAAGAUUGAGGGGGAUUAGCUCCUUUUUUUAUUUAUUAUAAUUUUGUUUUAUUUUUAAUUUUUGUUGAUUUUAUAGUGAUUUUCUAUUUGAUUAUGUUAAAAUUUUAUUUAUCAUUUAUUUUAUUUAUUUAUUAUUUAAUUUUAUAUUGGAAUGUUAUUUUUAAUUUUUGUUGUUUUGUGAUUAUUGUGUAAUUAGUAAAUUUGUUUUUUAUUUUGUCUAAUCGGUUUUGAUAAUUUCUUUUGAGGAAUUAGGCAAAUAUUUUGUGUCCGCCUGUUUAACAAAAACAUCUUUUCUUGUUAGUUUUUGAAGUAUGGCCUGCCCACUGAGUAUAUUUGAAGGGCCGCGGUAUUUUGACCGUGCAAAGGUAGCAUAAUCAUUAGUUCUUUAAUUGUGAUCUGGAAUGAAUGGCUUGACGAGAUGCAAGCUGUCUUAGGUUUGGUGAAAUUUUGGUUGAAUUUGGUUUCUGGGUUAAAAUACUCAGAUUUUUUUAUGGGACGAGAAGACCCUAUAGAGUUUUACACUUAUAUUUAUUGUUGUUGUUUAGUUUGGUUUUUAUUAUUUAAAUAAGUUUAUUGUGUUUUGUUGGGGUGAUGGGAAGGAUUUGUUUAACUCUUCUUUAUUUUUGUACAUUUAUUUCUCUUAUUAUGAU
rnacentral:rRNA from 1 species